UAAUUAAGUUCUAUUUCAUCAUUUCAUGAGCAAAGCCAAACAAACUGAUAAUCAGAGUUCAAACAAACUGAUCGAUCAGCUUUUCUUGUUGGGUUGUAAGGUAUGAUGCACUUGAUAAAUUCUUGGGUCUUGCUUGGCUUUUUGGAAUUCUGCCAAAGUUUGUGUGUUUUUGGUUGGUUCUGGGUUUUGAUGGCUUUGGAGUUGAUAUGGCUUUAAAGGUGGUGUUUUUAAUUAUGAGCUUUUUGGGAAACCCAUGUGGGUUUUUGGUUGUUGUCCUAAUUACUGACUCACUGUUCUCGUUUUGAUGAUGGAGCCUAGUAUAUUAUUUUGGAUUGUUCAAAAUGUUGAUGAUGAUUUGAAGAUAUGUGCUGAAUUUUCGUUUUUGAUGCAAAUAAGAUUAUGUCUCUGACUUGUGUUUGGCUAUGUACAUAAGAAGAAUCAGAGCAUUUUGAGGUUUUUUUCUUCUUCUUUUUUUUUUUUCACGAGGAGUAAUGAAGUUGAUGAGCGCGUGUAUCUCAUAUCCCAAGUAAUAUUUGUUAUGGUAUGAAAUGGUGGACAUGCUAAUCCUCCUAGAGUUGUAUGAUUAAAGUUCAGCAAAUGAACUAAGUGCUUUACUAACCAGUAAAUAACAAGAGUACAUUGUCAUUCACAUUGCUUUAGUAUUGAUAGAACUGAGCACAUUGUCAUUCACAUUGCUUUAGUAUUGAUAGAACUUACAUUCUAACGUCAUUUUCUAUAACGAAAGCUAAAGGCCUAAAGCUAACCUUUCAAUCCACGUUGUGACGUUGAUAGGAACUGUUGUGGUUUUUAGAUUGUUAAUUGAAUGCUGCAAUUUCCCCACUCCAUUAUCAAUUAGCAUGAAGCAGAUAGUUCAGCUUGUCAUGGUAGUUCCUGGAAUGGUAUGGUAGUAGAAACAGAUUGUUUGGAGGCUGUGAGGAUGGUAAAUGGAAGUGAUGAAUGUCAUGUCUUGCAUGUGAGGGUGUCCCGCAGGAGCGAAUCAGGGAGAUUUUGACCGCUUUGGAUAUUCAUCAUAUUCAUCAUGUUCCAAGGGCGGCUAACAAGGCCGCUCAUACUGUUGCAGGAGUUGUAACCUGAGGUAAUUAAUGGGCGGAGUAGUUGGUUAGGGGUUGGACCUCCUUGGCUCAUGGAUGUCAUCGUUAAUGACGGACCCGUUACUGGUUCGAUUUCUAGGAAGGAGAGUGGGGAGUUCAUGUCCACCACCAGUCAGUUCCAUGCUUUGUAAUCUUGAUAAUCUUUGGCGUUUUUGGCCUGCAAGAUGUUCUUAUUGCUUGAAUAUCAGAAGACGCCAAGGAGUGGUUUCUAAAGCUGAUCUGGUUGUCAUUGGAAUCUUUGUUGGUGUAGCCCAUGGAAUUUUGAUAGCUGCACUCAUAUUUUUCAGAAUAAAGAAUUGGCUUAGGCACAAGCAUCGACUUUAGUGUAUCUCUUUCAACUAGCAUACCUAUUCAAGGAUCUGAUCGAGCAAAAAAGUU